GUGUGUGUGUGUAUUUUUUUUGUAGAGAUGGAAUUUCACCGUGUUGCCUAGGCUGGUCUCGAGCUCUUGAUCUCAAGCGAUCCUCCCUGCCUCGGCCUCCCAACGUGCUGGGAUUACAGGCGUGAGCCACUGCGCCUGGCCAGGGUCUGUUCCUAGUUGCAACAGUUCUUGGAAACCCACUCGAGAGGGCCACGCCUCCAUUCACCAGGCCACGCAUCACAAGAGGCAACACCAGGAGCCAACAUGAGCUCGGGGACUGAACUGCUGUGGCCCGGAGCAGCGCUGCUGGUGCUGUUGGGGCUGGCGGCCAGUCUGUGUGUGCGCUGCUCACGCCCAGGUGCAAAGAGGUCAGAGAAAAUCUACCAGCAGAGAAGUCUGCGUGAGGACCAAGAGAGCUUUACGGGGUCCCGGACCUACUCCUUGGUCGGGCAGGCAUGGCCAGGACCCCUGGCGGACAUGGCACCCACAAGGAAGGACAAGCUGUUGCAAUUCUACCCCAGCCUGGAGGAUCCAGCAUCUUCCAGGUACCAGAACUUCAGCAAAGGAAGCAGACACGGGUCGGAGGAAGCCUACCUAGACCCCAUUGCCAUGGAGUAUUACAACUGGGGGCGGUUCUCGAAGCCCCCGGAAGGUGAGGCGAAGGACAAAGCCGGUGGCGGGGGAGGAA
rnacentral:lncRNA from 1 species